AACGAACGCUGGCGGCAUGCCUAACACAUGCAAGUCGAACGAGACCUUCGGGUCUAGGGGCGCACGGGGGCGUAACGCGUGGGAACCUGCCCUUGGGUUCGGAAUAACUCCCCGAAAGGGGUGCUAAUACCGGAUAAUGUCUUCGGACCAAAGAUUUAUCGCCUUUGGAUGGGCCCGCGUUGGAUUAGCUAGUUGGUAGGGUAAAAGCCUACCAAGGCGACGAUCCAUAGCUGGUCUGAGAGGAUGAUCAGCCACACUGGGACUGAGACACGGCCCAGACUCCUACGGGAGGCAGCAGUGGAGAAUAUUGGACAAUGGGCGAAAGCCUGAUCCAGCACUGCCGCGUGAGUGAUGAAGGCCUUAGGGUUGUAAAGCUCUUUUACCCGGGAUGAUAAUGACAGUACCGGGAGAAUAAGCUCCGGCUAACUCCGUG
rnacentral:rRNA from 1 species